GUCAAGGUGAAGGACACAGAACAAGAUGGAGUCGGCCAGUGUAGGCCCGCCCUUUCAACAUUACCACUGGUAUCACCAUUCAGCUCUCAGCCCUGCAGCAGUCACUCUUUUUUGGGCCUCAUGGAUUCUUGCCCUGUGCCUUGCAGCUCCACCCUUACCCAGGACCCAUGGUGAAUCCCCACACAGACUUUUGGGAGCUUUUCUCUGCACAGAUAUCAACUUGGUAAUUGAAAUAACACUCGUGGAAAGUGAAGCUAGAAUGCCUGCAUCACACUGGCAGCCAACAUGAGGAGUGCCCCAGGCUGUGUGGCUGGUCAAGGACUUUCCUCAAUAAAUUCUUCAGGGUAUUUCCUUUCUUUGUUUAUCGCUAAGUAUCCUGAGGCCUUAAAAGGGUAGAGGAAGGAUUCACUGCCAAUAUCAUUUGGUAUAAAUCUCAUCCCUGUGAAACAAGCCUUGCAAAAUUUAUAAUGUGGUUAUUCAUCAUUAUUUAUGAUUCAUAUAUACUUAAACUUUAUGAUAACUCUGACCACAGUCAUCUCUCCUGGAACAGAGGCCAGAGGGAUGGAGCCUUGGGGAUAUUUCCUGUGAACAUUGACAAGAUUCCUCACUGCGUAACAGCUGGGAGAUGGGAAUCUGUGAGUUGAACAGUCUUCUUCUUGGGGUUUAAUAUGCAGGAUGUGCCGUGGUGUGCAGGCAGGGUACAGAAAAGGAGGAGAUCAUAGCCUUUUCAUAUUCUCCUUUCAUCCUCCUCAGAGGUGAUGAUAUAAUUUUACCAUUAUCUGAGGUAAUUGGGAUAACUCAACACACCAACUCCAUCCCUAAUUCUUGCCAAUAUUUCAAACUCUUUUCCUGCCAGAUCUUUUAUGCAAGCGCAAAACCAAUGCUAUUAAUGUUUAUAUCUCCCCCCCACCCCUAUGCUCAAGUUAUGCAGAUUUUGCCAAUAAUUAUGAUGCAAAAGCAAAGCAAGGAAAAGGAACAAAGCAAGAGUUUUAACACCCUAAUGCUAGAUUUGCUGCCCUCAUUGAGGUCAUUCUUGGCUCAGAGCAUAUAGCUGAAGUUGGGGUGUGGUUUGGGCUCCCUCAGAUUCCCCGGAGAGAGGGCAGUUUCUUGCACAGUUUUAUUUAUAAAUUCUAACAUACUGGCACAGAGGUUUCAAGGAAGUGGUCUGAUUCCUGGCAGGUUCAGGAAGAGGUAGAUUCUGAGGCUAAUGUAAGGGCUAUUCGAUUAUAAAAUAUUAUUAGAUUAUUAAUUGACUCAAUCAGCAAAUUUUACUGAGUACCUACUGUGGACCAGGCUCUGUUCUAGAUGCUUAGAAUACAUUACUGAACAAAAAAAAAGACAAAGUUUCCUGCCUUUCUGAAGCUUACAUUCUAGUGGAAAUGAAACAGAUAAAAAUAGAACCAGUAAGUUAACAGUAAAGGUAAGGGGGAUUGGGAGUGUUGGAAGGGUGCAUUUCUGAUUUUAGACAAUAGUGAUGAGACAGGGUGGCCAGGACAAAUCUCACUGGGAAAUGAGAUUUGAGGAAAGAGUUGAAGGAGGUGAGGGAGUGCGCCAUGGGGUAUAGAAGAAGAGCAUCUAAGUGGAAGGCACAGAUGGAACAAAGGUAGGAGGUAGGAGCUUGUUGGUGCACUUAAGGACAGCAAAAAGCUCUGUAGCUGGAGCAGGGUGAGCAAGGGGGAAAGGAAUGGGAGUGGUGGUCAAAAGUAAUAGGGGUGGACAGAGCAAGUAGAGAGUUGUAGGCCAUUGUAAGGACUUUGGCUUUCAUUCCACAUGAGGUGGACAGCCUCUGAGGAGAGGUAACACAACUGGACUUGCUGAAAUGCAUUCAUGGGCUUCUGUAAGGGCCAUUUCCCCAACACUCCUGGAUGUCUGCCUUCAGCAAAAUGCAGAGGGCAUUUUGCACAGCCCCCAUGCACAGCAUCAGGGUCCACGCUGGGCCUCAGGUCUACUUAGCUUAGGGUUCUUAAUAGUUAAAUCUUGAGACUGGAAAGGAAAAAAAAAUCCUGGGCUUGAGAGGAUACUUUAAGAGGACAUAUAGAGAAAUUAAUCACACACCUUUCAAGAGCCUUAGCUUCCAGCAUCUGAGCCAAACAAAAUAAUUGUCUCCUGCCAUCCCAUUUGCGUUGAAUUUAACCAUCUCAAUAUAUUCUCUUUCCCAAGCUCAAGCUGUUCUUGGACUGACUGGUAAGACGAGCAAGCCCCCUAUAGAGAGCAUUUCUGAUCUUUUGUGUCUAUGACAGCUUCUCUGCCCAGGAAUGGUGCAGGACCUGCCACACCAGCUGCACUUGUCAGAUUCCUUCUAGAAUCUGCCUAUGAUGCCCAAGACAAAAAGAGUACUUGUGUGGCUUCUGGUUCCACAUUAAAUGUAAGACUUUAAAUUAAUACAUGUCAUAAUAUUUAAGGCAUUUUUGGAUUAAACUAAUUGAUUAAAAACAUCAAUCAAACAAAUAAAAAGGUGCAACUCACCUCCUGUUACCUUUAAAGGGAAAUGUAGGAGAUGAAAGGGUAUUCUUGGAGAAGGAAGAGGAGAGUAUUUGGGAAGUCGAUAGCCUGAUCCGCAUUUGUCCCUUGAGUGACUUCUAAAUGGGGAGCAGAUGACAUGAUGCCUGUGUCACAUCAUAGGUGAGCAGACCUGGGGAGGACAUGGGCUCACCAGUCAAGAAGCUAGAGACCCAGGAACUGUUGGCCUGGCUUGAAAGGAUGAUCUGAGAUCAUGACACUCCUCUGUGGGUCAACUGAGACUGAGAGAUGAUGGAGGUGAAGCAGUAAACUCAAAACUGGAGCUGUCACACAGCAUGGUACAAGUGGAAAUUUUGAGGAAAUUAGGAAUCAGGGAGAGCAGAAGAAGCCAACUGUGCUAAUGGUGGAGUGCUGGAGUCAAGAUCUUCCCACUGUGGCCGUUCAAGUCAUGGUAGCUCUUUCUAGUUCUUGCCCUCAGGAUACCUGCCCUACCAAGGAACCCCCAACACUCCCAUUCUUAGAUUUCUCUGAGAUUCCUUCUUAUUAAGGUAAAUCCCUUUACUUGACAUGGUUUGAGCAAGUGGCUGUUCCUAUCAACUAGAGAAGGGAUGACUAAAAAAUAUAUUCAUUCACUUGUUCAUUUAUUCAAUCAACAUUUUUAUCUCUGAGGACCCAGCAAUGAAUUAGACAAAGCCUCUAUUCCUAUGGAGUUACAUGAAUGUGGGGGCUAAAGAUGACAAACAAAUAAACAAGUAAAUCUAUACUAUAUUAGAUUCUGGUAAGUACAGUGGAAGAAUGUGGGGGAUGGGGUCACAGUGGAGGAAAUGACAGAAGUUCUUACUGAUAACGUGGCAUUCUGAGAAGGUGAGUGAGCCAGUCCCGCAAAUACAUGGGGGAAGUAUUCCAGGCCAAGAGUAUAGGAAAUGCAAAAGGAGGUAGGUGCUUGGUGUAUCUGAGUAUUGGCCAGGGUCCUAUGUGACUGGGCUGAGUGAGUGAGGGUGAAAACAUCAGAAGAUGCAUCAGAGAGCCUGUAAGACAUUUCAAAUAAAUAUCCUUCAUUCAUUAUAAUAAUUUUUAUUAAACUCUACUAUGUGCUAAGUUUCCUGAAAGUCCUGGAAUCAAAAAUUAGGAUACAAGUGUCUUCUGUCAUAAAGGCACCGAAUUUUAAGUCAGCCAUCUGACACUAAAAUAAUCUGUAGCUUGUAUUUUUCCAUUCUUGGAAAAUGAAACUAAUGUAUUAGGAGAGAUAAAGUGAUUGCUUACUUCUUAGGGCCAGUAUACCACAUGGAAAGUGAUACAGAAUAGCAGGAUUGAAAUGAGACAUUAAAGUUUUAUUUAUCUACUUCAGCCCCUGCCUCCAUGAGGGAGUGCCCCCAAAUGCAGCCUUCUUUGCUGUACAAGUGAGGAAUUUUCAUAGCUUUCUUUGGAAAUGCCUUCUACUAACGCAACAUUGAAUGUGUGCAAUUCUGCAUGAGAGCAUAAAGCACCCCCCCAAUAUACUGAUACUACCAAAAAUGUCACCAGGUGACCCAAUUCCUUCAUUCAAAUGUUAUUUUUAGUGAAUGUCAGAUAAGGAAGAGUAUCAUUACGAAGCUGAGAACAAAUCCCCUGUAUAUGCCUCCUCUUUUCAUCUGCACCACCCAUGGAGGACAAGAAUGACACUUGGCCAGUUUCUCUCUCCAGAAGAUGAUAUCUGACAAUAUCCCAAAAUAGUUGUGUCUCAGCCAAAAGAUGAGUCUGCCUUUUCUCUUCCAAAGAAAAUCAAAACUGUCCCCAAAUGAAGUUCCUAAAUACAUAACAACUCUGCUAAAUAAUGGACUUGAAUGCAAUUUAUCAUUCCCCCAGAAACAGAAAUAA